rnacentral:rRNA from 1 species
GAUGAACGCUGGCGGCGUGCCUAAUACAUGCAAGUCGAGCGAACAGAUGAGGAGCUUGCUCCUCUGACGUUAGCGGCGGACGGGUGAGUAACACGUGGAUAACCUACCUAUAAGACUGGGAUAACUUCGGGAAACCGGAGCUAAUACCGGAUAAUAUAUUGAACCGCAUGGUUCAAUAGCGAAAGACGGUUUUGCUGUCACUUAUAGAUGGAUCCGCGCCGCAUUAGCUAGUUGGUAAGGUAACGGCUUACCAAGGCAACGAUGCGUAGCCGACCUGAGAGGGUGAUCGGCCACACUGGAACUGAGACACGGUCCAGACUCCUACGGGAGGCAGCAGUAGGGAAUCUUCCGCAAUGGGCGAAAGCUUGACGGAGCAACGCCGCGUGAGUGAUGAAGGUCUUCGGAUCGUAAAACUCUGUUAUUAGGGAAGAACAAAUGUGUAAGUAACUAUGCACGUCUUGACGGUACCUAAUCAGAAAGCCACGGCUAACUACGUG